UACGUACGAGGCGAGCGUUAUCCGGAAUUACUGGGCGUAAAGCGCGCGCAGGCGGACCAUUAAGUUGGGCGUGAAAUCUCCCGGCCUAACUGGGAGGGGUCGCCCAAGACUGGUGGUCUUGAGGACAGCAGAGGUGGGUGGAAUUCCCGGUGUAGUGGUGAAAUGCGUAGAGAUCGGGAGGAACACCAGUGGCGAAGGCGGCCGGCUGGGGGUGCCCUGACGCUGAGGCGCGAAAGCGUGGGGAGCGAACCGG
rnacentral:rRNA from 1 species